ensembl:snRNA U1 U1 spliceosomal RNA
ACACUUACCUGGCAGGGGAGACACCAUGAUCACGAAGGUGGUUUUCCCAGAGCGAGGCUCAUCCAUCGCACUGCGGAUAUGCUGACCCCUGCAAUUUCCCCAAAUGCAGGAAACUCGAGAGCAUAAUUUGUGGUAGUGGGGGACUGCAUUCGCCCUCUUCCCUG